rnacentral:pre_miRNA from 1 species
AUAAAAUUCGGAGCGUCGGUCUACCGAGCAAUUUCAUCCGCUCGGUAGAAGUUAUUCCCUUUGUCGU